GCAGAAUAGCCUAAAACGUCAAGUUUUGAAGAUAUAUUUUAUUCUUUUUAACAAGGAGCUGCGAAACUGCAGAGAAUAUGGGAGAAGGAACGAGAUGAAGAGAAAGCAAACCAAAGGAGCUGCGAAACUGCAGAGACAGCGGAAGAAGGAACGAGAUGAAGAGAAAGCUAACCAGAGGAGCUGUGGAGAAGUUGCUGUGAAAGCCAAAGAAGGAACUGGAUGAACACAAAGCAGACGUGAGGUAUGCAUAAUUAUGUCAUUAUU